UCUGUGAUUAGUGGCGAACGGGUGAGUAACACGUGAGUAACCUGCCCCUGACUCUGGGAUAAGCGUUGGAAACGACGUCUAAUACUGGAUAGGACUACUGGCCGCAUGGUCUGGUGGUGGAAAGAUUUUUUGGUUGGGGAUGGACUCGCGGCCUAUCAGCUUGUUGGUGAGGUAAUGGCUCACCAAGGCGACGACGGGUAGCCGGCCUGAGAGGGUGACCGGCCACACUGGGACUGAGACACGGCCCAGACUCCUACGGGAGGCAGCAGUGGGGAAUAUUGCACAAUGGGCGAAAGCCUGAUGCAGCAACGCCGCGUGAGGGAUGACGGCCUUCGGGUUGUAAACCUCUUUUAGUAGGGAAGAAGCGAAAGUGACGGUACCUGCAGAAAAAGCACCGGCUAACUACGUGCCAGCAGCCGCGGUAAUACGUAGGGUGCAAGCGUUGUCCGGAAUUAUUGGGCGUAAAGAGCUCGUAGGCGGUUUGUCGCGUCUGCUGUGAAAUCCCGAGGCUCAACCUCGGGCUUGCAGUGGGUACGGGCAGACUAGAGUGCGGUAGGGGAGAUUGGAAUUCCUGGUGUAGCGGUGGAAUGCGCAGAUAUCAGGAGGAACACCGAUGGCGAAGGCAGAUCUCUGGGCCGUAACUGACGCUGAGGAGCGAAAGCAUGGGGAGCGAACAGGAUUAGAUACCCUGGUAGUCCAUGCCGUAAACGUUGGGCGCUAGAUGUAGGGACCUUUCCACGGUUUCUGUGUCGUAGCUAACGCAUUAAGCGCCCCGCCUGGGGAGUACGGCCGCAAGGCUAAAACUCAAAGGAAUUGACGGGGGCCCGCACAAGCGGCGGAGCAUGCGGAUUAAUUCGAUGCAACGCGAAGAACCUUACCAAGGCUUGACAUACACCGGAAACGGCCAGAGAUGGUCGCCCCCUUGUGGUCGGUGUACAGGUGGUGCAUGGUUGUCGUCAGCUCGUGUCGUGAGAUGUUGGGUUAAGUCCCGCAACGAGCGCAACCCUCGUUCUAUGUUGCCAGCGCGUUAUGGCGGGGACUCAUAGGAGACUGCCGGGGUCAACUCGGAGGAAGGUGGGGAUGACGUCAAAUCAUCAUGCCCCUUAUGUCUUGGGCUUCACGCAUGCUACAAUGGCCGGUACAAAGGGCUGCGAUACCGUAAGGUGGAGCGAAUCCCAAAAAGCCGGUCUCAGUUCGGAUUGAGGUCUGCAACUCGACCUCAUGAAGUCGGAGUCGCUAGUAAUCGCAGAUCAGCAACGCUGCGGUGAAUACGUUCCCGGGCCUUGUACACACCGCCCGUCAAGUC
rnacentral:rRNA from 1 species